AGUCCAGGGAGAUGUAAGGGAGCAACAGCAGCUUAGUUCAUGCCUGGCAAAGAGAUACAAGGAUAAAAGACGACUAGCUGCUUCAAAGGUGCAUGGCUCCUUCCCAUUUUUUCUCGUCAAAAAAGGUCAUCAGUGAAACUCAAGUAAUCCUUUUUUUGCUGAUUAAAAAGUGGCCAUGACCUGCCUUUGAGGAGAAGAGGAGGAGGAGGGGCAGUCAUCUUUUAGGUCUCCAUAAAAUCCUGCAAUCAAUUAGCUGCUGGGGAGGCCAGCAGUACCAAGUUCCAUCAGGUGGUACUGCUCACAGGCAGGGGAACUACCAUCCCUACACACUCCGGCUACAGAAACUGGCCUGUACUGCUAUGACAUUCCUGAAUCAAUGAAUCUCACUGAAUUUUCCUUCCCGGGCAAAUAGGGAAAGGUUUUCCAAGGUGCUGGGCAAAAGAGAACGACCACUGACAAGUGAGUGUACAGGCUCCCAUGAGACCUAGGAAGCACAGAAGCACAGAGUUAAGGCUUUGACUUCAACACAUUGAAAUCAAACACAACCCAGUGAAAUGGCUGA
rnacentral:antisense_RNA from 1 species